rnacentral:rRNA from 1 species
UACAGAGGGGGCAAGCGUUGUUCGGAAUUACUGGGCGUAAAGGGCGCGUAGGCGGCCUUCUAAGUCGAACGUGAAAUCCCCGGGCUCAACCCGGGAACUGCGUCCGAUACUGGUGGGCUUGAAUCCGGGAGAGGGAUGCGGAAUUCCAGGUGUAGCGGUGAAAUGCGUAGAUAUCAGGAGGAACACCAAUUGCGAAGGCAGCUCGCUGGGACGU